rnacentral:rRNA from 1 species
CGGCUACGUAAAGCUCUGUUAGUUAAAGAAGAACACGUAUGAGAGUAACUGUUCAUACGUUGACGGUAUUUAACCAGAAAGUCACGGCUAACUACGUGCCAGCAGCCGCGGUAAUACGUAGGUGGGCAAGCGUUAUCCGGAUUUAUUGGGCGUAAAGAGAGUGCAGGCGGUUUUCUAAGUCUGAUGUGAAAGCCUUCGGCUUAACCGGAGAAGUGCAUCGGAAACUGGAUAACUUGAGUGCAGAAGAGGGUAGUGGAACUCCAUGUGUAGCGGUGGAAUGCGUAGAUAUAUGGAAGAACACCAGUGGCGAAGGCGGCUACCUGGUCUGCAACUGACGCUGAGACUCGAAAGCAUGGGUAGCGAACAGGAUUAGAUACCCUGGUAG